rnacentral:lncRNA from 1 species
UGCUAUUUCUACCAAUAUAUUCACCUUCAUAAUCUCCAACUGUAAUACUGUGCCCUCACAGCUUUCAGCACACAAUUACCCUCAUUCCAAUCACUGGAAUUCUUGACACAGAACUGCCUUUUAUAUUACAAUGUUUCACACAAAUAUAAACUUAUUCUCUCUACUGAACUACAAUCAGAUUUCAGCAUUCAAUCUUUCUUCUUCUCAAAUAAUACCAAUCACAUUUCCAUUCCAUAAUUCACUUCACAAUAUUCAAAAACUCUCAAUCCUCUUAUUCAAAGAAAAUAACAAACAAAAGAAAAGAGGUAGCACCAAGCUUAUCCCGGCUCACACUAUCACAGCAAUGGCCUUUGGCUC